UCCCAGUUCGGACUGCAGCCUGCAACCCGGCUGCACGAAGCCGGAAUCGCUAGUAAUCGCGGAUCAGAAUGCCGCGGUGAAUACGUUCCCGGGUCUUGUACACACCGCCCGUCACACCAUGGGAGUCGGGAAUGCCCGAAGUCAGUGGCCUAACCACAACGUGGAAGGAGCUGCCGAAGGCAGGCCUGGUGACUGGGGUGAAGUCGUAACAAGGUAAC
rnacentral:rRNA from 1 species